GACGAACGCUGGCGGCGUGCUUAACACAUGCAAGUCGAACGGAAAGGUCCUGCUUUUGUGGGGUGCUCGAGUGGCGAACGGGUGAGUAACACGUGAGUAACCUGCCCUUGACUUUGGGAUAACUUCAGGAAACUGGGGCUAAUACCGGAUAGGAGCUCCUGCUGCAUGGUGGGGGUUGGAAAGUUUCGGCGGUUGGGGAUGGACUCGCGGCUUAUCAGCUUGUUGGUGGGGUAGUGGCUUACCAAGGCUUUGACGGGUAGCCGGCCGGAGAGGGUGACCGGCCACAUUGGGACUGAGAUACGGCCCAGACUCCUACGGGAGGCAGCAGUGGGGAAUAUUGCACAAUGGGCGGAAGCCUGAUGCAGCAACGCCGCGUGCGGGAUGACGGCCUUCGGGUUGUAAACCGCUUUCGCCUGUGACGCAGCGUGAGUGACGGUAAUGGGUAAAGAAGCACCGGCUAACUACGUG
rnacentral:rRNA from 1 species